GAUGAACGCUGGCGGCGUGCCUAAUACAUGCAAGUCGAGCGAACGGACGAGAAGCUUGCUUCUCUGAUGUUAGCGGCGGACGGGUGAGUAACACGUGGAUAACCUACCUAUAAGACUGGGAUAACUUCGGGAAACCGGAGCUAAUACCGGAUGAUAUUUUGAACCGCAUGGUUCAAAAGUGAAAGACGGUCUUGCUGUCACUUAUAGAUGGAUCCGCGCUGCAUUAGCUAGUUGGUAAGGUAACGGCUUUCCAAGGCAACGAUGCAUAGCCGACCUGAGAGGGUGAUCGGCCACACUGGAACUGAGACACGGUCCAGACUCCUACGGGAGGCAGCAGUAGGGAAUCUUCCGCAAUGGGCGAAAGCCUGACGGAGCAACGCCGCGUGAGUGAUGAAGGUCUUCGGAUCGUAAAACUCUGUUAUUAGGGAAGAACAUAUGUGUAAGUAACUGUGCACAUCUUGACGGUACCUAAUCAGAAAGCCACGGCUAACUACGUG
rnacentral:rRNA from 1 species